AGUGAACGUUGGCGGCGUGGAUUAGGCAUGCAAGUCGAGCGAUCGUAGCAAUACGGGAGCGGCAAACGGGGUAGGAAUACAUCGGAACGUACCUUUUGGUUGAGAAUAGCGUUGGGAAACUGACGGUAAUACUCAAUAAAGUCGAGAGACCAAAGGUUUACUGCCGGAAGAGCGGCCGAUGCGAUAUUAGGUAGUUGGUGGGGUAAUGGCCUACCAAGCCUGAGAUGUCUAGGGGGUGUGAGAGCAUGGCCCCCACCACUGGGACUGAGAUACUGCCCAGACACCUACGGGUGGCUGCAGUCGAGGAUCUUCGUCAAUGGGCGAAAAGCCUGAACGAGCGACGCCGCGUGCGGGAUGAAGGCCCUUGGGUUGUAAACCGCUGUCAGGGGGAUGAAACCGUAAGGUUGACAGAGCCCAGAGGAAGCACGGGCUAAGUUCGUG
rnacentral:rRNA from 1 species